AAAUGUACCAAAAAAAUUGAAACCAGUCUUGGAGCAGUGUGUACCCUAUAUAAAUGACAAACUAUCCAACAUGAAUAUUAUGACCCACUGCUACUACCAAUGUUCUUCGUUCUUGGCGCGCAUAUGUCGGAUAGCGUACAAGACAUGGUGUCGGUACCGUGCGACAGACGCGGUGCCAGACUCGAGCCCAUACUACAUCGAGGACUACUGCACGCUGUUCCCGAACAACGUGCCAGCCAUGCGAUUCUGUAACAAACACAUCAUCGAUGCUAACAACGACGAGUUCACAGAUGUCGCAUCGUAGACAUCGCUUUUAAAAACAACGUUGCUGAAAACCGUAUUCGCUUAGCUCAAAAGCUCGUCGACGAUCUGCCGAACAACGAUGACGGGUAGGAUGUUUACAGUGUUGCCAAAUUUCUUCUAAAGCAAUUUAAAGUAUAAUCGAGAAAAUCUCGACUAACGUUUUUUGGCAUUAUUUCGACAUUUUUAAUCAAUGUAAAUGCAUAACAUGUAUGUAUAAAACACAUUCUAUUCGAUAAGCAACGAAUAUUUAAUUAAUCAUAUCAUUUUCGACAUAGAAAAUAAUGACUCAAAUCUUUGACAAUUUGUUAUAAUCUAGGUUAUGUAGUAUAAUAUUAUAUAGUCUGUGUCAUUUCAAAACUUUUCAAAACCAAAACAAACAUUUUGCUCAUAACUUGAUUAUAUCUUUAUUUAUCUAAAUACGAGAUUUCAAAGCUCCAAAUGGCUUUAAGCGGUCAAGUGGACUUUAAAAAAAGUUGUACCCCUAACCAACGGCAUUUUACUUGUCCUGUGUUUUAGUUUGGUUCCAAAACUAUCGAAAUGUCUCGCAACGCACUGCCUUCGUUGAGUCAGCUGGAAGAGCUAGUAAGCUUUUUGGAAAACAAACCAUGUUUGAUUAUGAUGGGCCCAUGAUCGUACUGCAAAUGCUAGCAGUCAUCAGGCACGAUCCGAAAACAACAGCCCCAAAUAGUGACGUAGUGGGUGUAUGAAAAUAUUGGAGCAGUGGUGUAAGUACUGGAAGGACAAAAAGGAGCAGUGCAGAGGAAGUCCAGUUCAAUUGCAGCUGCGAGGCAACAUGAAGAAUUUGCCAGAACUCGGUGUAAUUGAGUUAAAAAUACAUUUCAUUAUGUGAGGAGAAUGUUUUGGAAUCUGAA
rnacentral:lncRNA from 1 species